rnacentral:rRNA from 1 species
GACGAACGCUGGCGGCGUGCCUAAUACAUGCAAGUCGAACGCAGUGGGGACGGGUGAUUAACACGUGGGUAACCUCCCAUCAGAGGGGAUAAAACUUGGCAACUGGUGCUAAACUGAUACUGAUGGAUGGACCCGCGGUGCAUUAGCUAGUUGGUGAGGGAACGGCUCACCAAGGCCACGAUGCAUAGCCGACCUGAGAGGGUGAGCAGCCACACUGGGAAUGAGGCACGGCCCAGAAUCCGACGGGAGGCAGCAGUAGGGAAUAUUGGGCAAUGGGCGAAAGGCUGACGGAGCAACGCCGCGUGAGUGAAGAAGGUUUUCGGGUCGUAAAGCUCUGUUGUUGGAGAAGCGGUAUCUAACGAGGAAGCAACGGCUAACUACGUGCCAGCAGCCGCGGUAAUAC